rnacentral:rRNA from 1 species
AACGAACGCUGGCGGCAUGCCUAACACAUGCAAGUCGAACGAGACCUUCGGGUCUAGUGGCGCACGGGUGCGUAACGCGUGGGAACCUGCCCUUAGGUUCGGAAUAACUCCCCGAAAGGGGUGCUAAUACCGGAUAAUGUCUUCGGACCAAAGAUUUAUCGCCUUUGGAUGGGCCCGCGUUGGAUUAGCUAGUUGGUAGGGUAAAAGCCUACCAAGGCGACGAUCCAUAGCUGGUCUGAGAGGAUGAUCAGCCACACUGGGACUGAGACACGGCCCAGACCCCUCGGGGGGGGAGCAGGGGGGAAUUUUGGACAUUGGGCAAAAGCCUGUUCCGGCAAUGCCCGGGGAGUGAUGAGGGCCUUGGGUUUUUAAAGCUUUUUUCCCCGGGAUGGAAAUGAAGGUCCCGGGAAAAUAAGCCCCGGCUAACCCCGU